UGGUUUACCAGACCCGGAAGGCGCGGGCCUUAGUGGCGGACGGGUGAGUAACGCGUGGGGAACCUGCCCGUACCGGGGGAUAACACCUGGAAACAGGUGCUAAUACCGCAUAACAGAAGGGGACGCAUGUUUCUUCUUGAAAACUCCGGUGGUACGGGAUGGACCCGCGUCUGAUUAGCUGGUUGCGGGGUAACGGCCCACCAAGGCGACGAUCAGUAGCCGGCCUGAGAGGGCGGACGGCCACAUUGGGACUGAGACACGGCCCAAACUCCUACGGGAGGCAGCAG
rnacentral:rRNA from 1 species